CGCGUAGGUGGUAGUGUAAGUCUGAGGUGGAAUCCUAUGGCUUAACCAUAGAACUGCCUUGGAUACUGUAUUACUUGAGUCAGUGAGGGGAGGGUAGAAUUCCUGGUGUAGCGGUGAAAUGCGUAGAUAUCAGGAGGAAGGCCUGUGGCGAAGGCGGCCCUCUGGCGCUGGACUGACACUGAGGCGCGAAAGCGUGGGGAGCAAACAGGAUUAGAUACCCUGGUAGUCCACGCCCUAAACGGUGGGCACUAGGUGUAGGGCUCGUAAGGGUUCUGUGCCGAAGGGAAACCAUUAAGUGCCCCGGCCGUGGGGAGUACGGCCGCAAGGUUGAA
rnacentral:rRNA from 1 species